rnacentral:rRNA from 1 species
AGGGAAUCUUCCGCAAUGGACGAAAGUCUGACGGAGCAACGCCGCGUGAGUGAUGAAGGUUUUCGGAUCGUAAAGCUCUGUUGCCAGGGAAGAACGUCGGGUAGAGUAACUGCUACUCGAGUGACGGUACCUGAGAAGAAAGCCCCGGCUAACUACGUGCCAGCAGCCGCGGUAAUACGUAGGGGGCAAGCGUUGUCCGGAAUUAUUGGGCGUAAAGCGCGCGCAGGCGGCUGUUUAAGUCUGGUGUAUAAUCCUGGGGCUCAACUCCGGGUCGCACUGGAAACUGGACGGCUUGAGUGCAGAAGAGGAGAGUGGAAUUCCACGUGUAGCGGUGAAAUGCGUAGAGAUUUGGAGGAACACCAGUGGCGAAGGCGACUCUCUGGGCUGUAACUGACGCUGAGGCGCGAAAGCGUGGGGAGCAAAC